rnacentral:rRNA from 1 species
UACGUAGGGUGCAAGCGUUGUCCGGAAUUAUUGGGCGUAAAGAGCUCGUAGGCGGCUUGUCGCGUCGGAUGUGAAAGCCCGGGGCUUAACUCCGGGUCUGCAUUCGAUACGGGCUAGCUAGAGUGUGGUAGGGGAGAUCGGAAUUCCUGGUGUAGCGGUGAAAUGCGCAGAUAUCAGGAGGAACACCGGUGGCGAAGGCGGAUCUCUGGGCCAUUACUGACGCUGAGGAGCGAAAGCGUGGGGAGCGAACAGG